rnacentral:rRNA from 1 species
AACUAUAACGGUCCUAAGGUAGCGAAAUUCCUUGUCGGGUAAGUUCCGACCUGCACGAAUGGCGUAACGAGGGCCACACUGUCUCCACCCGAGACUCAGUGAAAUUGAAAUUGCUGUUAAGAUGCAGUAUACCCGCGGCCAGACGGAAAGACCCCGUGCACCUUUACUACAGCUUUGCAUUGAACUCUGAUCCUACCUGUGUAGGAUAGGUGGGAGACUUUGAAACUUUAACGCUAGUUAGAGUGGAGUCAUCCUUGAAAUACCACCCUGGUAUGGUUGGGGUUCUAACCUUGGUCCGUUAUCCGGAUUGGGGACAAUGCAUGGUGGGUAGUUUGACUGGGGCGGUCUCCUCCCAAAGAGUAACGGAGGAGCGCAAAGGUACCCUCAGCACGGUCGGACAUCGUGCAAUGAGCGCAAAGGUAAAAGGGUGCUUGACUGCGAGACUGACACGUCGAGCAGGUAGGAAACUAGGUCUUAGUGAUCCGGUGGUUCUGAGUGGAAGGACCAUCGCUCAACGGAUAAAAGGUACGCCGGGGAUAACAGGCUGAUACCGCCCAAGAGUUCACAUCGACGGCGGUGUUUGGCACCUCGAUGUCGGCUCAUCACAUCCUGGGGCUGAAGCAGGUCCCAAGGGUAUGGCUGUUCGCCAUUUAAAGUGGUACGCGAGCUGGGUUUAGAACGUCGUGAGACAGUUCGGUCCCUAUCUACCGUGGGCGUUGGAGACUUGAGGGAAGCUGUUCUUAGUACGAGAGGACCGGAAUGGACACACCUCUGGUGUUUCGGUUAUGACGCCAGUCGUAUUGCCGAGUAGCUAUGUGUGGAAAGGAUAACCGCUGAAAGCAUCUAAGCGGGAAGCCCCUCCCAAGAUUAGGUCUCCCUGACAGUUUAACUGUCCUAAAGAUCCCUCGGAGACUACGAGGUUGAUAGGCACGGUGUGGAAGAGUAGUGAUACUUGAAGCUAACGUGUACUAAUUGAUCGUGAGGCUUGACCAU